rnacentral:rRNA from 1 species
GGGGCGGUCUAAUACAUGCAAGUCGAGCGAACAGAUAAGGAGCUUGCUCCUUUGAAGUUAGCGGCGGACGGGUGAGUAACACGUGGGUAACCUACCUAUAAGACUGGGAUAACUUCGGGAAACCGGAGCUAAUACCGGAUAACAUUUAGAACCGCAUGGUUCUAAAGUGAAAGAUGGUUUUGCUAUCACUUAUAGAUGGACCCGCGCCGUAUUAGCUAGUUGGUAAGGUAACGGCUUACCAAGGCGACGAUACGUAGCCGACCUGAGAGGGUGAUCGGCCACACUGGAACUGAGACACGGUCCAGACUCCUACGGGAGGCAGCAGUAGGGAAUCUUCCGCAAUGGGCGAAAGCCUGACGGAGCAACGCCGCGUGAGUGAUGAAGGGUUUCGGCUCGUAAAACUCUGUUAUUAGACAAGAAAAAAUGGUAAGUAACUGGGCAAUCUGACAGUACUAUCAGAAAGCCAAGCUACUACGUGCAGCAGCGCGUAUACGUAGGUGGCAAGCGUAUCGGAACUAAUGGGCGUAAAGCGCGCGUAGGCGGCUUCCUAAGUCUGAUGUGAAAGCCCACGGCUCAACCGUGGAGGGUCAUUGGAACUGGGAAACUUGAGUGCAGAAGAGGAAAGUGGAAUUCCAUGUGUAGCGGUGAAAUGCGCAGAGAUAUGGAGGAACACCAGUGGCGAAAGCGACUUUCUGGUCUGUAACUGACGCUGAUGUGCGAAAGCGUGGGGAUCAAACAGGAUUAGAUACCUGGUAGUCCACGCCGUAACGAUGAGUGCUAGUGUUAGGGGUUUCCGCCCCUUAGUGCUGCAGCUAACGCAUUAAGCACUCCGCCUGGGGAGUACGACCGCAGGUGAAACUCAAAGGAUGACGGGAACCCGCACAAGCGUGAGCAUGUGUUUAUCGAGCACGCGAAGACUAACAAAUCUGAAUCGUUGAACUCUAGAGAUAGAGCUUCCCUUCAGGACAAGUGACAGGUGGUCAUGGAUGCUCACCUGUCUGGAAGUUAGUUAAGUCCGCAACGAGCGCAACCCUUAAGCUUAGUUGCCAUCAUUAAGUUGGGCACUCUAGGUUGACUGCCGGUGACAAACCGGAGGAAGGUGGGGAUGACGUCAAAUCAUCAUGCCCCUUAUGAUUUGGGCUACACACGUGCUACAAUGGACAAUACAAAGGGCAGCUAAACCGCGAGGUCAUGCAAAUCCCAUAAAGUUGUUCUCAGUUCGGAUUGUAGUCUGCAACUCGACUACAUGAAGCUGGAAUCGCUAGUAAUCGUAGAUCAGCAUGCUACGGUGAAUACGUUCCCGGGUCUUGUACACACCGCCCGUCACACCACGAGAGUUUGUAACACCCGAAGCCGGUGGAGUAACCAUUUAUGGAGCUAGCCGUCGAACGUUGAA